rnacentral:lncRNA from 1 species
CCUUCUUUCAUGUAGAUCUCCUUUAGAUAUUGAAAGCCUUCUAUCGGGUCACCUUGUUGCCUUCUCUUCUCCAGGCUAAAUUUCUGUAAUUUGUAAGUAACUCUAAAUGCGGCAACCACAAAUUAAUGAUGAAGUUAAUAGGAGGACUAAGGUUACAUAAGAAAAUAUUUCAUUGGCAGCUAUCAGUCAAUACCAGUGACUGUUAAAUAUAAAGACUAUCUUGCCAGGGAAUCCUAGCCAUACAAAUACUUACUUUUCAAGUGACUGGAACUUUGGUGGUCACCAGAGGCAUUUUGUUACAUCACCCAUGCUGUGAGUUCUGGAAUGACGUGGCUAACGGAUCUGCCACCAUAUGCCAGAUGGCUGAGUGAUUCAAGGAUAACACAACAGUAAUUUGCUGCUUGAAUUCAAAGAACAGCUUUGGAGAAAAUGAGCAUACACUGCAGCUUAUCAGAGGCUUUUAGAAUAGUUCUUUACAAAUUCACAUUCCUUCUUCUUUGGUGUCAGAAGAAAGAACGAAGAAGUAUAUAGAAAAGGUCUACUUUCUACACCAAAUCUCUGAAGAAUAUGGGAUGUAUAUUUGCAGACUUUAUGCUAUGUUAUACACAGUAGCUGU